rnacentral:rRNA from 1 species
GACGGAGGGUGCUAGCGUUGUUCGGAAUUACUGGGCGUAAAGGGCGCGUAGGCGGCCAUGUAAGUCGGGUGUGAAAGCCCGGGGCUCAACCCCGGAACGGCACCCGAGACUGUAUGGCUGGAGACCGGAAGAGGUGAGUGGAAUACCCAGUGUAGAGGUGAAAUUCGUAGAUAUUGGGUGGAACACCGGUGGCGAAAGCGGCUCACUGGUCCGGUUCUGACGCUGAGGCGCGAAAGCGUGGGGAGCAAACAGGAUUAGAAACCCUGGUAGUCC